rnacentral:rRNA from 1 species
UACGUAGGGUGCGAGCGUUAAUCGGAAUUACUGGGCGUAAAGCGUGCGCAGGCGGUUUUGUAAGCCAGAUGUGAAAUCCCCGGGCUUAACCUGGGAAUGGCAUUUGGGACUGCAAGGCUUGAGUGCGGCAGAGGAGACUGGAAUUCCUGGUGUAGCAGUGAAAUGCGUAGAUAUCAUUUGGAACGCCGACGGUGAAAACAGCUCGCUGGGAGUGUCCUGACGCUGAGACGCGAAAGCCAGGGGAGCGAACGGG